AACUUUUCCUCAACAAUCACCGUGAAACUCACAAAUAAUGUAUUUGGUCACAUGCACCACUUCAACAACAGUUAUACGGACCCUUCAAUUAAUCAAAAUUACCUAAAUAGAAAAAAAUAGAAAACCACAGGUUUCCAAACAGUGUUGCAGGCUCGGUUUGAUCAAGCCUGUUCAAGGACGGUAGUGGAAAUGCAAGCUACCGUCCACAUCCUCUAGCCCCGAGUUAAGCAGAACUCAACAUUUACACAUGUUACAAGUACCAGACACCCACAGAUGUAUUCAUACGGCGGUGCACAUUGAACCUUUAAUGAUACACAGAGUGCAAUUUCAUGAAAAGCGGCUUUUGGUCCCAAGUUAGAAUAGAGGGUUUGCCCUAAACGAGAAAACAAUAGACAGAACUAAACAAACUGGAAUUCAGAGGUGGAAUCUAUGGUUAUAAAGCCUGCAUAUCACAAAAAUCAAAGAGCAGGCACCACAUCCAAGGGGUGAUUAACCUAUACCUAAAGCUGUUAAAGUGGGAGUAUUGGAACCAACCAGACGAAAUGUUUAAGGUGUUCACUUGAUCUAAUUACAGUAAACCUUGUAAACACUAUAGAUGUUACAGUGUUGACGUGCACUGCAUGAAAAUUGAUCACAAUGUGUUUCUUAAUAAAACAGAAAAAGUAGAAACUCCACAGGUUGUCCAACACGACAAAAAAGAAAAUGCAAGCUCGGUUUGAUUGAAAUUGUUCAUGGACGGUAGCGGAAAAGCAUAUACUACCGUCCAUGCCCCUUCAGCAGAACACAUUUGCACACGUAACAGUACGCAAAUGUGUUCGUACGAUGGUUUACAUGGAACCUUUAAUGAAACUCUAGCAGCUAAAGAUAGAAACUGGGUUAUAUGCAAUUAAAAGUAUUGGAACAAUAGGUCAAAUCAGAGAAGAAAACUGGUUGAAUCUCUAGAGCAUCUGCAUAUGAAACCUGGUCAGAGUGAUAAGACAUGGUGACACAGGUUUUAACCUCGUAUUGGCCAAUUCUGAAAUUGGCAUUCAUUACAUAAGAACAAAUAUUUUGGCUAGGUUUCAUUUAGAUCAGGUAGAUAAUGUGGUCUCCAUUUAUGUUUACAAUGCUUCUGUUCUAUGAUUUGACCUUGUCUACUAACCUUUGUUCAGGAGAAGUCAAAUUCGCAUUUGAGCAAGACAAUAUUCUAACUUAUUUUCAUGUAGAAAAUGAAGCAUCAAAAGUGUUUGCGAAGUAUUUAUGAUUUUACCAAAUGACAUUAUUUUUUACUUAAAUGACAAACUUUUGAAAACUUGUUCGAGAUUUCAUGAAGACAUACAUUCUGUCCAGCUUUAAUGUAAAUCAAAUGGAAAAUGUUGCUUCUCUUAUGUUAAAUCUACAUUUGAAAUUUGAAAUAAUGACAUAAUGACAUAGUAUUUAACAAAUGAUCACAUAUGUUUUAUCAAAGCACACAUUCUGCCAGGAUUUCUUGUAAAUGGACGAGAGAAAAUGUAGCCAUUAGUGUUUAAAUAAUAUUUAUCUAUGAUUUGUGGCCUAAUAACAUGAUUUAUGACCCUAUAUAGCUUAUUUUCGAAAUUCACCUAGUUUUAAAAACGACAAUAUUUUGAUUUAGAUUUCAUGAAAAUAAGAAUGAAAAUGUUUUAUAUUUUUUAUUGUUAUUUGACCUAGUAAUCUACUUUAGACUCAGAUAACAAAGUUUCAAACUUUAUCUAUACUGCAUAAAGUAAAACAUUCUGACAAGGUUCAUGUAACUCAGGUAGACGCUGUGGCCUUUGAUGUGUUAAAGGGUUUUAUAUUAUUUGCAUAACGACCUAUUUUUUGAGUCCAUACAACUCAACCUAGAUUUCAUAAAGGGAAACAUUCUCACAAUUUUUAUGUAUACUUUUUUCUAUAAACUGGUGUAGUGGUCUGAUUUUCUAAUACAGAUGACCCAGUUUCGAACUUCUUGUCUUAGGUCUCAUAAAAAAUACAUCCUGACCAUUUUGUCAUUCAUAAAAUAUAUGGCCAAGGCUUUCUAUUAUACCAUGUAGCCUUGUGGUCUCAUUUAUGUCGCUUGAUCAUCCAGUAUAUAUAUAUAUAUAUACAUAUGCAAUGGCGUCUAUUGGAAAACUAUGUAGUACUUGUUAGGAAAGAAAACAUUAAAAACGCUCCCGAAAUGCCAGGAAGGCAAGUGUACUUGUUACAACAUCUGAACAAUACGAUUUUUCCUCUAAGUAUCAAACAUGUUAUCUUAUAAUAUUUAGUUAUUUUGCAUCACCCUAUAUUAAGUAAUUUUCGAACAAUUAGACCUAACGACGAUACCGCUUCAAAAACGAACAAUUUAUUGUUCUCCAAUAUGAAUUUCGACUUUAAAGACGUAAUUUAUAUAGCGGCGAUUUUAUACUGUAGGAGUUACAAGAAAUGUAAAUGUCUUUAUCAUGUAACUUAAAUUCUGUUCUGCGAGCAACAUUUAUAAUAAUAACAACACAUUGAAAGUUAAAUAAGUUGUGCAUACCUAAACAGAAAUAAUCAAAACUUUUAAACAAUGUUAGUAAUUAUUUUUGUAGACAAUGUUUUAAAAAAGCAGUCUGUACACACUUCCUUGGGAGGCAUAUUAAAACCAACAUAGGAUUUUAAAAUUAUUUUACAGCUCAGUGUUUGUUUUCUGGAUAUCCAAGCAACGAAGACACCUUCCAUCGUGUAUACCGUGCUGAUGAACGCGUAGUCGCUGAAGAUCAGUACAUAUAUCCAAGGAAAACGAUUGAAGUGUUUGCAAAAAAAAGAUAUGAGUUGUACAUAGAUUCAUCAAAGUCCUACUGGCAUCAGGAGUUUACCUCGGAAUGUAGAUAUGGUCAAUUUAGUGAGACGAAGGAAAAGUUUCCGAUUUGUCUGGAAAGUACCUGUGUAUGAGAUGGAAACUAUGGUAGACGACCAACCUUCCGUUCUUGAACUGAGUACUCCUAUUGAUAUCCAGCAGUCUGAUGAGCCACCUAUCUUAGAACGUAGUAUUCCAGAAGGCCAUGAGUUAUUUCCGGUGCCAGUCGCAGAGUCUACAGCCCUCGAAAUAGAUGACGACAACACCUUACCAACAGAACCAGAUCCCGAACCGAUCUUCAUGGAUGCAGACAGUGACGACAACAGUGAUUCCAGUAUAUCAUUCGACAUAUCUAACAGGCGCUUUAUAGAUUCGGUUCGUCCAAUUCAGGAACAGUCUUGGGCGCACCUUUCAAAAGACAGGGCCCGCUGAUGUCAAUCCAAGCUUUCGUGGAGAAGGACGGGGAUACACAACAAUUUCCGCUAGCAUUCGUCCUUAUGUCUAGGAAAACCAAAGACGAUUACCUACAGGUCUUCGAGGCUCUGAAAUGAAGCGUUGGUCAGGUUCGGGUGGAGGGCUUUGUACUUGACUUUGAGACAGCGGCAUGGUUAGCGGUACGGGAAGCGUUUCCUGGUGUGGAGAUCAAGGGAUGUGCUUUCCAUUGGUCCCAAGCGGUUUGGCGUCGGGUCGUAGAUGUCGGUCUGUCCGAAACAUACCAGCGUAGAACAGGUGUCCACUCAUUUAUACGCCAGAUCCUGUCCCUUCAGCUUGCCGUCAUCGCAUAUCCGUCGGGCAUUCGACGCUCUUCAAGGACAGGCAACUACAGAUGCAACGCAGCGUUUAGUGGAAUAUGUCGAACGCCAGUGGAUACACAGCUCUGUGUUCCCCGUUGAGUCUUGGUCUGUCUUCAGACAGACUGUGAGAACCAACAACGACGUUGAGGGCUGGCAUUACCGUCUAAACAGUAAAGCGGGGAACAUGGGGCUGCAAUUCUACAGACUGGUGCCGCUACUACAAACCGAGGCAGACGAUGUGAAAAUGGCGAUCCGCGCAGGUGAUCUGGGAAGAAACAUGAGAGGACGGUCCAAGAGGUUGGAGAAAAGUCUAAGCUCCAUCUGGGACCAAUAUGAAGAGGGUAACAUCACAACAUCUAAAUUCCUCAAAAGAUGUGGCGAGCUCUACGGAGUCAGAGUGUAACUGAAGUGUACUACAAAGACUUAAAAACUAGACUGAAAAAUGAAUGUGUGAUUAUAUAUGUUAUUAUAGUGUAAAUACUUCUGUUUUUGUUUUUUAUUAUAUUAAGUGUUUUCUUGUAUGUUGUUCGUUUCUUGUCUUUAUUCUGAUUAUCUUGAAGUUACUUUGAAUAUGUUUAAAUUAUUGUGUUGUUUUAUCUGUUCUUGUAUAAAGUGUGUUUGUGUCCUGUUUCGUUUUACAUAUUCAGUUUUGUAUAUUAUUGAUUAUCAGCAUUUCCAAUAUAUAUGUAUUAUCGUAUUCAGUCAUACUGAUAAUAUUUAAUGUUCAUGUUCAUUUUAUGUUUAAGUAUGUUUUCGUGUCCUGUCCAAUUAUCAAAUUAUUUGUAUAAUAAAAUUUGUUGUCAUUGUAUAUAAUAAAAUUUAUUGUCAUUUUUGCUCUGUAAAUAAAUAAAAAUAAUUAUUUGAAAUUAUUUGAAAUUCUUUACUUCUUUAGCGAUUUUGACGCUCACAUAAUAAAUAAUGGCUAUUCAUUUAAUCAUUUUUGGUACAAUAUCAAUCAUUUUUCUAUACGAGUAUGGGCAAAAAGAAAUCUUUAAAGUAACAUAAAGUACAGUAUUAAUCCUAAUUGUUGGACUAAAAUCAUUAAUUUUUGCUGUAUAAGUGUAUAAUGCUCGUUUCUGUAUGAUGGUAUGAAAUAAAUUUAAUUUAGAUAUAAAUGAAAAAAGAGCUUAUUUUCGCAUAUAAAAAGUUAUAUUCUUUAAGCAAUUUUGACAAAUGUUAAUAAUAAUCGCUAUUCACUUCUUAAUUGCUAGAAUAAAAUAAUUCAUUUUGCUUUUUAAGUGUCUAAUGAUCGUAUCUAUAUUACGAUACAAAAGUUAAAAAAAAAAUAUGGCUAUUUUCGUACUUCCUAUCCAUAUUUAUUUAUCUUUUAUGGGCAUUUAAUUGCUUUAAUUGCUUUAAAAAUUGCUUUAAAAAUUAAUUAAUGUUCAUGUUAUAGAUGUUUUUUUCGUGUCCUGCCCUGU